CCUACGGGUGGCAGCAGUGGGGGAUAUUGCACAAUGGGGGCAACCCUGAUGCAGCGACGCCGCGUGAGCGAUGGAGUACUUCGGUAUGUAAAGCUCUGUCAGCAGGGAAGAGAAUGACUGUACCUGACCAAGAAGCCCCGGCUAAAUCCUUGCCAGCAGCCGCCGGAAUACGUAUGGGGCAAGCGUUAUCCGGAUGUACUGGGUGUAAAGGGAUCGUAGGUGGGAGGGCAAGCCUGAUGUGAAAGCCCGGUGCUCAACCCCGGGACUGCAUUUGGAACUGCCACGCACGAGGGCCGGAGGGGCAGGCGGAAUUCCUAGUGUAGCGGUGAAAUGCGUAGAUAUUAGGAGGAACACCAGUGGCGGAGGCGGACUGCUGGACGGUGUACUGACGCUGAGGCUCGAAAGCGUGGGGAGCAAACAGGAUUAGAUACCCUUGUAGUC
rnacentral:rRNA from 1 species